rnacentral:rRNA from 1 species
ACCUGAUCCCAUGCCGAACUCAGUAGUGAAACGUAAUAGCGCCGAUGGUAGUGUGGGGCCUCCCCAUGUGAGAGUAGGACAUCGCCAGGC